rnacentral:tRNA from 1 species
GGCAGUGUAGUUUAGUGGUAGAGCACUUGCCUAGCAUGCUUCAGGUCAAGGGUUCAAUCACCAUUGCCU